CUCUAUGGACAUCUUACUAGACAGUGCUGGAUUUAUUUUAUCUUUUCUAACACUGUCUGGUAACGAUGUUUAAAGAG
rnacentral:pre_miRNA from 2 species